UACGUAGGCAGCAAGCGUUGUUCGGAGUUACUGGGCGUAAAGCGUGCGCAGGCGGUUGUGCAAGACCGAUGUGAAAUCCCCGAGCUUAACUUGGGAAUUGCAUUGGUGACUGCACGGCUAGAGUGUGUCAGAGGGGGGUAGAAUUCCACGUGUAGCAGUGAAAUGCGUAGAGAUGUGGAGGAAUACCGAUGGCGAAGGCAGCCCCCUGGGAUAACACUGACGCUCAUGCACGAAAGCGUGGGGAGCAAACAGG
rnacentral:rRNA from 1 species